rnacentral:lncRNA from 1 species
CAGUUUCUUUCGUGUUUUCGCCCACGUCUGCCACGUUCGCCUGCUACGAACUAGAGUUCGUGGGAAAACGGCUAGUUAUUAGCUAGUUACUAGCUAAUAAUCAUCAGGUGCCGUCCCAUCUUCUUCUUCCCACGUUUUCGAGCCUUUUCCCUUUUUUUAAAAAGGAAUUUCAGACCCACCGUUUCUAACCCUUCCGACUAAGGACUUCUUUCUUAGGUUUUCCAUCGUUC